rnacentral:tRNA from 1 species
CCAGUGAUGGCUUGGUGGUAGAGUUGCUGCCCGGUAAGCAGUUAAUCGCAGGUUCAAUCCCCCCGCUGGU